rnacentral:rRNA from 1 species
GACGAACCGUGCGAACGUUGUUCGGAUUCACUGGGCUUAAAGGGCGCGUAGGCGGCUUGCCAAGUCGGGGGUGAAAUCUUUCGGCUCAACCGGAAAACAGCUUCCGAUACUGGCGAGCUUGAGUGGGGUAGGGGCGACUGGAACUUCCGGUGGAGCGGUGAAAUGCGUAGAUAUCGGAAGGAACGCCGGUGGCGAAAGCGGGUUGCUGGGCCGACACUGACACUGAGGCACGAAGGCCAGGGGAGCAAACGGG